rnacentral:rRNA from 1 species
GAUGAACGCUGGCGGCGUGCCUAAUACAUGCAAGUCGAGCGAACAGACGAGGAGCUUGCUCCUCUGACGUUAGCGGCGGACGGGUGAGUAACACGUGGAUAACCUACCUAUAAGACUGGGAUAACUUCGGGAAACCGGAGCUAAUACCGGAUAAUAUAUUGAACCGCAUGGUUCAAUAGUGAAAGACGGUUUUGCUGUCACUUAUAGAUGGAUCCGCGCCGCAUUAGCUAGUUGGUAAGGUAACGGCUUACCAAGGCAACGAUGCGUAGCCGACCUGAGAGGGUGAUCGGCCACACUGGAACUGAGACACGGUCCAGACUCCUACGGGAGGCGGUAGUAGGGAAUCUUCCGCAAUGGGCGAAAGCCUGACGGAGCAACGCCGCGUGAGUGAUGAAGGUCUUCGGAUCGUAAAACUCUGUUAUUAGGGAAGAACAAAUGUGUAAGUAACUAUGCACGUCUUGACGGUACCUAAUCAGAAAGCCACGGCUAACUACGUG